CUGACCAAGAGGGUGAAUAGUCUUGUGAGUGGCAGCCAGAUAUAGACGCACAAUAUGCCCGUGGCUUCGGCUGAGUCUUGUGAGUGAGCCACAUGUAGGUGCACAAUAUGCAAGCGGCUACGACUGCUUACCUCUGCCCUCGCCGCCGUCCUUGUGUCAUGCUGCUCGGUCGUGGAGGAACAUGACUGCUCGUGUGAUGGCAGCGAUUUCACUGUGCCACAACCACGAGGGUGGUGAUGUCUCGUCCUUGGCUACAAUUGCCCUCUGGGACUGAAUAUGUUUUGAGGGAAGAAAUUCAGGGGACAAUGUAAUUUGAUGUGGUCAUCAAUAGUCAUUACCAACUCUCCAUCAACAGAAUGUGUUACACGUGGCAUGGCUUGCCUCUAGCAGUCUAGCUCCUUCGGUCUGGUGUGACCAACCCAUUCCUGCUCUGGCGGUCCUGCUGCAGAGGCCGUUCUGCACGAGGUCAAGCUGCUUGGCCCAAAGCCCAACAAUGGCUAUCUCGCCCAUUCAGAACACGUUGGCAUUGGCACCAGAAGGUCAAUUUUUUAAUUUGCUUGAACUCGGAUCGUUGGCUUCCACGUUAUUCAAUUUCCUCCUAUUUUUGUACUUGCUGAAAUGGGCACAGGGCAACUGGUAUUUGUGUCUGUUGAGUCAGAAAAAUGAUCGAUGGCUUGUGUUGCAAAAUGUUGGUGGCAAAAUAGAGCCAGAAACACAUUUGUGUAUUUCAAAAACUGCAAAAUUGUUCAUAUCAGUUCUGUAACAUUAGUUUUUUUCCCUUACCCAUAUUGUUAGAAGAUAAAAACUACCACAUUUACUUGUCGCUCAAUUGCCAUGUUUAGCACCAGGCAUUCAAAUGCCAAGUCCUCGAUUUUAGGAAAAAAAAUAAGUCCGAGCCCACUUUAUAUUCAAAUGAAGCCACUAAUAUCAUCCAUUGGGGUUCAACUUAAAACAUACGACCGAGCCAGCAUGAAGCGCCUAUGUUGUUAUGAGUCACUUUCUUCUGUCUCACUAGAUGCACUGUUAUGUUGCAUUGGCAUCUUACAUCACUAGAUGCACUUGCCAUCAAGCGUUGUCAUUUCUGUGGGAGUUUAAUGAGAGCUACAAGUGGAACUUUCUUGUAUUAGGUUCCAGUUUUGGAAAUCAUAUUGGUCAAGUAGCUAGAUUACUUGCAUUCUUCCAAGCAUGAACUUUUUGAAUUUGAUUACUGUGUUCACAUUUCUUUUUUGCGUGUUGAUAUCUGACACCAAGAGGGUGAAAAGUCUUGUGAGUGACAGCCAGAUAUAGAUGUACACUAUGACCUCGGCCUGAACUGCUUACCUCCGCCCUUGCUGCUGUACUCCCAUCCCGCUGCUCGGCAGUGGACGGACAUGACUACUGGUGUGAUGGUGGUGGUUCACCGUGCCCCAACCAGGGGGUGGUGAUGUCUCGACCUUGGAUCCAAUUGCCCUUUGAUAUCUGUCAGCAAGAGGGUGAAUAGUCUUGUGAGUGACAGCCAGAUAUAUAUGCACAAUAUACCCGCGGCUUUGACUCCUUACCUCCGGCCUUGCUGCCAUGCUCUGUCAUGCUGCUCAGUCCUGGACGGACAUGACUUCUGGUGUGAUGGCGACGAGUUCACCGUGUCACAACCACUGGGGCGGUGAAGUCUUGGCCUUGUAUACAAUUGCCCUCUGCUUCAACUUGGAAAACGUGUUGACCGACCUAUGUGGCAUGGACGGUCGAUAAGGCUAGGGUCGUUGCCAUCGUCAAGGACCUGCUUACUAAGACAGAAUGACCCAAGGAUCCAUCUCAGCAUUGAUCGCUAAGCAGAGGAAGAAUUGGAGCAACGUGAAGCAAAAGGAGAAGGUGAACAACACCACGACAAGCUCAUUGCCGAGUUUCCCAAGCGCUUCUGGGUUCAAAGCAAUAUCGGUGUGCAGGCUACAGAUUCCAGUGGGGUGGAUGCUAUGCUCGGCUUUCCAACCGGCUUCCACUACCUCCUUUCCUCUUGCCGCCGUGCGGCCGCGGUGGUGGUGAUGACAUUCAGCCUCGGCGACACCCCACUCCGGUCAAUGAUGAGCUUACCACUGGUGGCGGUUGUCUCGGACAGAGCCUCUCCGCGCAACCCGGAGUUGUUGCUGAUGGUGAAGGCUCUUGGCGGUGGUGGUGCUGCUUCUGAUGGGCACACCUGAUCCUCCCACGCUUGGCUUGCCCCCAUCAACACGUCACCACCACCCCCUUGACUCCGGUUCUUCUCCACCGAGAGAAAGACCGCCAUAGUACCAGAAGGCUUCCACUAGUUUCACUACUUCCGCUCUCCCUACCGUGCGAAGGAGGCAAGUUUACCGCUACGCAACCGUGGCAAUGGUGGCCUCAUCUUUGACUGCGUGGUUUUGGUGAGUCUCUGGUUCUUCCAUUCUGUCAUGUGCUAUGCACGUCUGCCAUCCGAGGGUUGUCAACUGUCGCGAGAAGAAGUGUGGCCACAAUAAUUAGGUGAGCAGUCUGGUACUUCUACAUGGACUACUUGCAACGGCCAGCGUCAGGUGCAAAGUUGAUGUUUAUAUGCCCGGUCCUUGGGUAUAUCAAGAAGUGGAUUCCGGUCCUUGGUGUGUCGAGAAUUCCUGCGGCAGCGGCAAUGGCAAUGGUGUCCACCCCUCUGAUGUUGUCCUUCUCGAAGGGUUGGUCUAGUGCUUGGGAGGUUGACGUGUUGAGGAUGACGGGGCACGGCUCUGGUCCACCGCCACAUGGUCUUUCUCUGCAAAGAAAAGGAUUCUGUGCGUGCAGAUUGUGUUGUACAGGGAAAUCACCACAAGAUGGUUUAAAACAGCCAUCCAGGCAUUACCUUCUGAAUUAGGAUUCCUUUUUCUUAUGUAUUCCUUGUGCAUUCAUUCCUUUGACGUUUGCAUGUAGCUGCUGUGGCUGAUAGAGAACGGAUGCCAAGCGGCUCGGCAUAUGGUAUUUGGUCAGUGGCACCACUCUAAUCCAGGAACCUGCCAGCAGACGGCAUUUGGGUAGUAGGAGGAUCAGGCGGUGGCGCAUGAGCAAGGACGAGCCUGGAGAUGAGCUGGCCAGUCUGCAACUUAUAGAGAGUUGGCUGGUCUAUAACUUAUCGAGAACUUGCUUGUGUUGUUGUGAGAGAGGAACUUGGUGCGGACAUGCAAGCUGCAUGGUAGUCAAGUAGAAAACCUGAGCAUGGACAUGCAUACAUAGGGCUGUAUUGUCUAGGUGAUUUAUUCAUUCAUUUUUUUUUUGAAAACAUGAAAGUAGCAAAUGAAAACAACACCAGGUUACAUGAA